rnacentral:rRNA from 1 species
GAUGAACGCUGGCGGCGUGCCUAAUACAUGCCAGUCGAACGCUCAAGGGAGGAGCUUGCUCUUCCCGGAUGAGCUGCGAACGGGUGAGUAACGCGUAGGUAACCUGCCUGGUAGCGGGGGAUAACUACUGGAAACGAUAGCUAAUACCGCAUAAUAUUAUAUGUUGCAUGAUAUCUACUUAAAAGACGCUAUUGCACCACUACCUGAUGGACCUCCGUUGUAUUAGCUAGUUGGGUAGGUAACGGGUUACCAAGGCCACGGAAGAGAGCCGGCCCGGGGGGGGGAACGGCCACACCGGGACUGAGAAACGGCCCAAACCCCCUAGGGGAGGAGCAGGAAGGGAUCUUCGGGAAUGGAGGGAAGGCUGAACGGAGAAAGGCGGGGGAGGGGAGGAGGGUUUCGGAAUGGAAAGCCCUGUUGUAAGGGAAGAAAGAGUUGGGGAGGGGAAUGUGCACAUUGUGACGGUACCUAACCAGAAAGGCACGGCUAACUACGUG